UCUGAUGUCGUAGCUGCAGUGCUUCAGCAGACUUCAGACUUCCCGGCGGGAAUGGAAGCCUUCCAUCAGUCUGGAAGGGAAGGGAGAGGUUCCUGAUAGCCCGCCAAGUUCCUGGAAUCUUGAAUAAUGAUGUCGGCGCUUCUACUUGCGGUAUUUUAGGGAACCUCAUCACCUGUUCAACCAUAUUGCGGCACACAGUCAUCGUGGCUCGAGGGAAAGAAGUGGGGUCUCUGAUGUGUCAUCUUGCUUCAAGCCUGACUGACAGUUAAUGAUGUUUGGCAAACCCAGUGGCGAUCAACAGGAAGAACGUCUCGCAGACUAACACUGUGUCUGGGCCGCUCGCUUUCAACUUCAAAAAAAAAAAUGCUUUACAGCCAGAGGAAUGAGCAGGGCUGGAACCGACAACCAUCUGCUUCACAAUCGAGCCUGAUACCAGGCUACGGAGUCUCCCUACCAACGGACAGCCAUUAAUGGCUAAGUAUGUUUGAAAGGGUUUCAUUGGGCCGAAGAGAUUAUUAUAUGACCUGCUGCAGAAAUUUCUAGCACGAAGUACGCAAGAUGGAAGCACACAAAAAAAAAAAAAAAAAAGACCGACUGUAGCAAGCGCGAGUCGCGAAUCGACGACCGGACCCGACUACAUUUUUCCAUUGACAUCUUAGCACUGACCUGUUGUACGCAUGUGUCGCCAUUGCAAUGAGGUUGUCAACAAUCAAACUUCUUAGUCAUUCAGACAAAAGAACUAAUACCUAAACACUAAUAAGCUAAACACCAGU